UACAUCGCGUCUUCCCUUCACAUUUGCCCUCUCGGAGCCUGGCAGUGCCCCGAGGAGUCAACACAGGGGGAUAGAGCGCCUUCCUCACAUAAACACAGCGCGGAGCCGCCCCUCCGCCCUGCAUCCUGUCGUGAGGCACACGCGUCCUUUCCCUCCGUCCCACGGCUCCUUCCAUUCCCUCCCGUGCUGACUUCUCUCUCCUUCCGCAGCUCCGGCCCGAGGUCCCCACAAGGUCUCCCGAUGCCCUCCGGGGCUCUGGUCGCUCCCCGUCCCGGCGGCCGCUGCCGUGGCCGUGCUGGGGCUGGAGCCGCGCGUGCCGAUGCCGGAGUCACUUAGCGAUUUCAUGAUUGAAGCAGGCUAGAAAUGGAUGAUCACACCUAAACUGAAAGCAGUCCUUAGGACUCCUUAGGAAUGAAUAAUGUCUUCUAUUAAGAAGAGUUCUCAAGUGUGUUGGUACUCCUUGACUGCCUAGAAUAUGCCUCAUGAGAUAGAGAUAAACAAUAUGGAGUCAAAAGAGUUCCUUGUAAAUUGAUUGGUCUUCAAGAGUGAAAACUAGCAAGGGAUGUGCAAGGCAUCAGAACUGAUCCGUUGGGUGGAUGAUUACAGACUUCACACAAGAUCACUCAGCUGUCCUAUGCAAUGUUUUGUCUUGAACUGAAGCAGUGACUCAGAGUAUUACAUGUUCAAUGCUCAUGUUUAAACAAUCUAGCCAUUCGUUGCAACAGAAGUUUCUUAAAAGCUGUGGCAAUUUAUUUCUGUAUGGAUUGACUGAAAUAAAGUUAAUACCAGAA